UAGCUGUAAUGGCUUUUGGCGAAGUGUCCCUCACUUCUCAAUCAUCUCUUUCACAACCCAAUGAUGCGUGCCCAGUUCGAACUCGGUGGUGGUCGUCCACUCGCUACGGUAACGGGCGAUUUGCUGGCGCGGCUCUAAGCUACUGCGGAAUUCUUCAGCCGAGUAAUCGGGCAGAGAGCUGCAGGCCAUGGAGUGGCGGCGCUGGAUUACAUGCGUUGUUGGCGAGAUGAGUUUGGGAAGAUUGAUGGGGGACGCAACGUUUUU
rnacentral:SRP_RNA from 1 species